rnacentral:RNase_P_RNA from 1 species
CACAGGCAAGGCUGAAACGGUGCGGUAAGAGCGCACCAGCGGCGACGGUGACGUCGUCGGCUCGGUAAACCCCACCCGGAGCAAGACCGCGCAGAGGGCGUGGACGGCCCGUUCGUCAUGCGUGCUGCAUGACAGCCCUCGGGUAGGUCGCACAGAUGGAUGGCUACCGGCUCGGCGUUCGCGUCGGGUCACAGAAUCCCGCUUACAGGCCACCUCACCAU